UCUCAAUGAUGUGUCAAUAGAUCCUUCUGACCCUUCACUAUGUACUCACAAGGGAAAUGAGGAGACAAUGUAACUGAGAGA